UACGGAGGGCGCAAGCGUUUUUCGGAAUUACUGGGCGUAAAGCGCGUGUAGGCGGUCUGGUAAGUCGGUUGUGAAAUCCCCGGGCUCAACCCGGGAACUGCAUCCGAAACUUCCAGGCUAGAGUUUCGGAGAGGAAGGCAGAAUUCCCAAUGUAGGGGUGAAAUCCGUAGAUAUUGGGAGGAAUACCAGUGGCGAAGGCGGCCUUCUGGACGAUGACUGACGCUGAGACGCGAAAGCGUGGGGAGCAAACAGG
rnacentral:rRNA from 1 species